rnacentral:rRNA from 1 species
CCUACGGGUGGCAGCAGUGGGGAAUAUUGGACAAUGGGCGAAAGCCUGAUCCAGCCAUGCCGCGUGUGUGAAGAAGGCCUUCGGGUUGUAAAGCACUUUCAGUGGGGAAGAAAGCCUUGGGGCUAAUACCCUCGAGGAAGGACAUCACCCACAGAAGAAGCACCGGCUAACUCCGUGCCAGCAGCCGCGGAAUACGGAGGGUGCGAGCGUUAAUCGGAAUUACUGGGCGUAAAGCGCGCGUAGGCGGUCUGAUAAGCCGGUUGUGAAAGCCCCGGGCUCAACCUGGGAACGGCAUCCGGAACUGUCAGGCUAGAGUGCAGGAGAGGAAGGUAGAAUUCCCGGUGUAGCGGUGAAAUGCGUAGAGAUCGGGAGGAAUACCAGUGGCGAAGGCGGCCUUCUGGACUGACACUGACGCUGAGGUGCGAAAGCGUGGGUAGCAAACAGGAUUAGAUACCCCAGUAGUC